UCAUGAAUUAGUGAAUCAGUGUUUAUUAAGCGCAAAACGAAUUCUGCAUUGGCGUGUAGGUUUUGUGUGUAUUUGACUCAAGAAGAUGCUUGCUUGGGUUAUGAAGAUGAUGCUGAAUAGGAAUUGUAAUGAACUGAUACGUGAAAAAGAGUAUAUCCUCAGACCCUAUUUGGAAGUAUAUGCCUUCUUGUUUUGAGAUGUGCCAGUAGAUAUCUUGCUCAUAUAGCUGAACCAUCCAAUUAAUUCAUGUCGAACCAAAUUUUCAAGUCGUUGGGAGGAUGUAAGGCUUGCGUAAUGAAACUUGAUGUUAGAGCUUCUGCACAUUAUCCUUUAUAUUCACUAUGAUUAUGUUGAAACACAUUCAAGGCCUCUUCGAUUGCACUAGUCUGAUUUUAUAACUACAGAUACUAAGGAGGCUGUGCCGGAGAGUUCUCCCACCUCUUCAUCUGUGAACUCAGAACGGAUUCGGGAACAAAAUGCAAUGAAGUUUCUGUUACAUCCAAAAGUUAGGGGGUCCCCUGUCAUGUAUAUAAGGUCAUUUCUUGAAGGGAAGGGUCUCACAAAAGAGGAGAUUGAUGAAGCGUUUCGACGUGUUCUUGAUACAUUGACAGCUGUUUCAAGAACACAUCCAGCCAUCUCUAGUCAAGGCUGUUGCAUCAGAAGAAGAUGACGAAGACUUAAUAAAGAAAAACGACACUAAACCAAGUGUAGCAGAAGCUGAUGCAGCUCGAGCAAGCCAGGAGAUGCCAACAACAAAUAGAGAAGAGAAGAUAUGCUUUAAGGAGAUUAUGAGUAGGUUAGAUGCUCAAACACAAGAGAUGAAAUCAAUGAUCAAUUCAAUACAGAAGUUGGAAAGUGGUAG